GCUUUAUUGCUAAAAAAUGCUAACCAUCAUCUGAGCCUUCUUCAAGUCAUAAUCUUUUUGCUGGUGGACUGUCUUGCCUUGAUAUUGUGGCUGCUGACUGAUCAGGGUAGGGGUUGCUGGAAAGCUGGGUUGGCUGUGGCAGUUUCUUAAAAUAAGCCUAUAAGGAAGCUUGUCACAUCCAUUAACUCUUCCUUUCACUUGAACACAUAAGAGGUCAUCGUAGGGUGGUUUAUUGGCCCAAUUUCAAUCUUGUGUCGCAGGGAAUAGGGAGGCCCUGGGAGAGGGACAGAUGGAAGAACCUCUGAUUAGUAGAGCAGUCAGAAUACACAUAGCAUUUACCGAUCAAGUUCUCCAUCUUUUAAGGGUGCAUAGCACGCCAAAACAAUUAUGGGGGAACGGCAAGAUCACAGUUUGCCGUUAACAGAUACAAUCAUCCUGAAAAAGUUUAAGUUUUGAGUGAAUUACCAACAUGUGACACCAUAUGAGCCCAUGUGGUUAGAAAAAUGGCACUCGUAGCUUUGCUUGACUCAGGGUUGCCACAAAUCUUCAAUUUGUGAAAAAAAUGCAACGCCUGCAAAGUCUGAUAAAAGGAGAUACAUCUGGAAAUAGCUUCUGCCAUUCCCCUUCCAACUUAAAGCUUCUCUGGUUCUGGCUACAAGAAUUCAACAAAAAUUUCAGACUUUCGCAAGUCUCUGCUGUUUAUUUGGGUACCCUGGGCAAAAGGAUUGGCCUCUUUGACUGUUUCCUUAUCAGUAAGAUGGGGACAAUGCAGGGCUCUUUUGAAGAAUGUGCUUUCUUUAUAAACAGUAGCCUGUUUCUUAAUGUGAUCUUUAUUGCAGUGUCUGUUUCUGUAAGUGUGCGUGUUCAUGGAUAUCUCUGUUCAUCCAUCUGUGGUCUGCUGGUGAGAAUCCUGCCUCCCUCUUGCUCCCCCUCACCCCCACCUGUGUCUAGGAAUUGUUUGAGCCCAGGGAGUCCUAAGGGUGUGUGUGUGUGUGUGGAGAUUCCUGACAUCACAAGGAUAUCUUCUUUUGUGCCAUGGUGGAUAGUGGCGGUUGGGAGCAUGGUGGCCAUGCAGGGAAUUAAGUGGGGGGCAAGAGAACAGCUGAGAGAGGAGCGAUGUGCAGCUAUGAGAGUUUGA
rnacentral:lncRNA from 1 species